CAGGACGAACGCUGGCGGCGCGCUUCAUCCAUGCAAGUCGAACGAACCCGAGACUUCGGUCUCAAUGGGAAAGUGGCGAACGGGUGAGUAACACGUGAGAAACCUACCCCGGAGAUGGGAAUAGCCCAGGGAAACCUGGAUUAAUACCCAAUACCCUGCCUGCACCUCAUGGUGUGUUCAGGAAACGCUCCGGUGCUCCGGGAGGGUCUCGCGGCCUAUCAGCUUGUUGGUGAGGUAACGGCUCACCAAGGCAUCGACGGGUAGCUGGUCUGAGAGGACGAUCAGCCACACUGGGACUGAGACACGGCCCAGACUCCUACGGGAGGCAGCAGGAGGGAAUAUUGCGCAAUGGGCGAAAGCCUGACGCAGCGACGCCGCGUGGGGGAAGAAGGCCUUCGGGUCGUAAACCCCUUUCAGCAGGGACGAAAUUGACGGUACCUGCAGAAGAAGCGCCGGCCAACUACGUGCCAGCAGCCGCGGUAAUACGUAGGGCGCAAGCGUUGUCCGGAUUCAUUGGGCGUAAAGGGCUCGUAGGCGGUUUGGUAAGUCGGGUGUGAAAACUCAGGGCUCAACUCUGAGACGCCACUCGAUACUGCCAUGACUAGAGUCCGGGUAGGGG
rnacentral:rRNA from 1 species